GCUCCGGCUGGCCCGGCAGGGCAGGGCAGGGCUCUGCGGUGCCUCUGGAGGGCGCCCUGAUCCCAAAGCUCUGCGCUUUAUCGGAGCG